GAGGAGCGAAAGAAUAAAAUGAAGAACAAAAUCCAUUUCAGUAAGUCAGCGUGUCAGCAGUUUCAAGUUCCAAUUUUCCAGCCUUCCCAACUCGGCGGAGUUUUCCCCCAAAUCAACCCCCGGGGCCGGCCCCACACGUGCCCGGCGGUGCCGGCGGCCCCGCGGCUCCCUCAGCCGCGCCGGCUCCAACAUGGCGGACAGGAAGCGGCCCCAGCGCGGCGGAGAAGCUUCCAGCCGGGCCGGGGGAGGAGGAGGAGGAGGCGGCGGAGGAGGAAGGCCCCGCCGCCACCCCGCGAAGGUCACCGGCCCCGUCCCGGCCCCGUCCCGGCCCCCCCAGCCCUCCACCACCCCCCCCAAGCUCCGGACCUGUUCUCCGCUUCGGCGCCUCCUGGUGCUGCGGGUGCUUGUGGAGCGGCGGCUUGGGCUGGGCUCGGCCGUCGGGCGGCGGCAGGCCGUGCAGGCUCCGGCGGCUGGGACGCGGCUGGCGCGGGGGAGGCGGCGGAGGACUGGCAGCGCCCGCCCUGCGCUCGGCCGGCCGCGACCGCCCCCCCGCCCAGCUCCGCCCCGACCGGCGGAAAGGGAAG